CCCCCGCGCGCUCCCCCGCCCCCCCCGCCCCCCUCCGCCGCCCCAAACUCCUUCCUCAGGACCGUGGGAUGCUGGCGAGCCCUGGUGCGAGCUGCCGGUCUCCAUUUCCAAGCGGGGAGCCGCCGGGAGCGGCCCUUCUCCCCCGCCCCGCAUCCCGGGUGCAACCGGAUCACAAAAAUCAAAGCUGAGUGCGUUUUACCCCAGUUGUCUUCCUCUGAGCACACUCACAAGGCCCACUCUGUUCUCCAGUCUUGUUACAUGGAUUGCUAUCUCUCCAAGUAAUUCCUCAGCAUCCCCUUGGAUGGCAUCUACUGCACGCUGAAUCAUUUCCCCUAACUGAAAUGGCUCCAGCACAGCUAUUCCCUAGAAGACAUCCUCCCCGAUUUCUUACAGGGCCUGUAAGAUAAUUGAAGUUGCAGAACAGCAAAGACAUAGACAGAGACACUGAGGUCUUAUUGCUCCUGUCGGAAACUUCUGCUGUCUACAGCAUGAGCUGGAUUGGGCCCAGAGAAACCAAAUACACACAAGUAACAAUGAGUUGGCCAUACAAGCAAGGAAAAUCACAGAUAACAGAUGCACACAAAUUAGCAAUGUACCUUUUAGGUCAUUCAGUACAGCUCCCUGACACUGUGAGAUUGUUUCCUAUGGCAUAUUUUCGGCUGUUUUGUGUAUCUAGAUUAAAUGUCCUAAGUGAUGCCAUGUCCCUAGGGAGGGAUUUUGCUGCCUAAUGGAUCUCAUUGUCAGAAGUUUUUUUCCUUUCUUAACAUCACCAUGUUUCACCUAGUUAUGUACCUUUGCAAACCUCCUUCGCAAUUCUUUCCCUUCCUUUGUAUUAUUUCCCUCCAGUAUCUUUAGGCUACUGUGAUGUUCCCUUUAGUUAUCAUUAGUCCAACCUAUAUAUGUUUAGCUCAUUUAAUCUUUCCUGAUAAAACAGUCCUUUUGGUGUCCUGGUUAUUCUUCCUGUUCUCUUAUCACACUUCUGCCUGUCAGCAUCUUUUUUUGGUUAUGAGAUUUCAAAGAUGUGAUGCAUUCUUCUGAACUAAUGACAGAUCUGGCAUAGAUAUGAGCACCCUCAAUGUCUUCUUACUAAUAAACACUCCUCAUGCACUCAUGGGAAAGCCAUCAGCUUUCUGGACAGAUGCACAAGUAGAGUGUCCUGUGCAAGCCACUUCCUUGGUAUCACUUUUUCUUAUUUUGUUGGUCAACAGUAACCUUUUAAAACAGUUAACCCAAGUGGUUUAAAAAACAAAUGCCUAUCAUUACGAUUUUCUUUUCACAGUACAGGAGAUAGAACAGCACCAAUUAAAAAUAUUUUAUUGCUGUUGUUUAGAUUUUCUAACACUUGGCCAUGGGCAUCACUAUCUAAUAUUAUUAAAGACGUUGACUUGUCUAGAAACUGUAUCUAAAUGCUAGUAGAGUACAUUGUAGAAAAUAAUUAUGUACAUAGUCACAAGCCUGGCUGUUCACUUCAGGCAAUAAAUUCUGAUCAACAAACAACACUUCUUUAGCGCUAAAUGAGAUCUUGGUUGUAAUUGAAUGUCUUUAGCUUUGUGUUCUGUUGGAUUGGAGGAAUAUCAUUUUAAUCUGUUCUCUUUAAAUUUUCAUUAAGGAACGUUUCAGCUACCUGCAGCCUCAUCUGAUGAAGUUUAAUGAUAUCAGCUAGCUCGUUCUUCUGUGCACCAGCAGGGACUUCUUUAAAUUGGUCAACUGUACAGAACAUUGUUUUUGAGUUUAACGUACUCAGAAUCAACCCUUUGAAAUAAUGACAUCUCUUAAGACAGUUUAUAUAAUAAUGCACACAUAUGAGCAUAUAUUUAUGUGCAUGUAUGUCUGUGUGUAUAUAUAUAUAUAUAUAUAUGCGUGAGUGCACACACAGAUACAGAAAUACAGGGCCUAUCUACCUUCUUUAAGACAUAUCGACUAAUAUCAUCAUUAUAAAGGUGCUGGUAAAUUUGAAAUGGUAUGCAUUUUUGUUGGAGUUUACUUCUGUAACCUAAGAUCAGAAAGAUAAGCUGUGAAAUUCAUAUGCAGCUGAUGACAUAACGCUGCUAUCUUGUGAUGCUGAACCUCACAUUUCUGGGAGUGUAGGAUGGAUGCUCCUUGCUGGAAUAAUUAUACUGCCAAUGCAAUACAUGUUUCCUUGUUUUCAUGUGGGCACAGAGAUGUCCAAACCAUUAAAUAUAUAUGGUAUAAUGA